ACGGAGCUUGCUCUGGUGGCGAGUGGCGAACGGGUGAGUAAUAUAUCGGAACGUACCCUGGAGUGGGGGAUAACGUAGCGAAAGUUACGCUAAUACCGCAUACGAUCUACGGAUGAAAGUGGGGGAUCGCAAGACCUCAUGCUCGUGGAGCGGCCGAUAUCUGAUUAGCUAGUUGGUAGGGUAAAAGCCUACCAAGGCAUCGAUCAGUAGCUGGUCUGAGAGGACGACCAGCCACACUGGAACUGAGACACGGUCCAGACUCC
rnacentral:rRNA from 1 species